CAAGCGGAGGAGCAUGUGGUUUAAUUCGAUGAUACGCGAGGAACCUUACCUGGGCUCGAACGUAAGAUGACUGUAGGUGAAAGCUUACAUCUCUUCGGAGCAUUUUACGAGGUGCUGCAUGGUUGUCGUCAGCUCGUGCCGUGAGGUGUCGGGUUAAGUCCCAUAACGAGCGCAACCCCUACCUUUAGUUGCCAUCAGGUUAAGCUGGGGACUCUAAAGGAACUGCCUACGCAAGUAGUGAGGAAGGCGGGGAUGACGUCAAAUCAGCACGGCCCUUACGUCCAGGGCUACACACGUGCUACAAUGGCCGAUACAGAGGGCAGCUACCUGGUGACAGGAUGCAAAUCUCCAAAGUCGGUCUCAGUUCGGAUCGGAGUCUGCAACCCGACUCCGUGAAGUUGGAUUCGCUAGUAAUCGCGCAUCAGCCAUGGCGCGGUGAAUACGUUCCCGGGCCUU
rnacentral:rRNA from 1 species